UCCUGAAAGAAAACAGAGGUUAGUAAUAAGUGAAAUGUGUAUAUGUAACUCGUUUCGUUUUUUUAAUCAGUCAAGGUAUUUCGAAUAUUUGCCUACUUCUUAUAAGAUCUCUUUAGAUAUACACAUAUUCAGUUUAAACAGCUUUGAAUUUUAUAAAUAAGUCGUUAAAUAGUAGACACAUUAUUGAUAAAUGGACAUAAUAGUAUUACGAUGAAUGAUAUAACGGUGAAUGAUUAAAGUAAACUCAAGGCGGAAGCAUUAUUAAAAAAUUGAAAAAAUGAGUGCACAUUUACAGUUGUUUGCACAUAUUUAAUAAAAACGUUUAUAUAAAUAUAUAUUAAUGCACUACAAUUUCAUAACUAUAAAGAAAACAUGCGUCUAUUACUAAAUACAUUAUUUAGCUACUAACACUUUUCUUAACAGUUAAUGCAAUAAAAUAUAUUUAAUGAAAAUCGUUUAUUUUUAUUUUUAGUGUACAUUUAAAGCUUAUUAAAGACAUUAAUGUUGUUUGAAAAACGCGUAAAAAUAUUUGUUAUACACUGACAAGAUUUACACUGAAGCACGUGGUCUAAAGAUGGCGUCGAAACUUUUUAUGUCUUUUGCAAACAGUAUCACAGCAUAUAUUGUUAGGAUAGUACUUAAAACGGUAUUAGAGAUAUCCAAAAAGAAACUGGGAUUAAUGAAGCUUUUGACAGUAUUCGUUGCAUAAUAAAACAACAACCUGCUCAUAGCUCUAUUACACAUUCUUGAUUGUAAUGUGAAGCUGAAGCUGUUGGUUUGGAUGGAUUGAAUGCUUAACACUAAGCAUAUGUGAUUUUAGUUCCGACGUCUUCAGGCAGAUGCCUUUUAGUGGUUGGUGGACGGACGGAUUCUGCGCUAGAGCUAAUCUCGUAACGUGUGGAAGGAAUACAAAAGUUUAUGCUAAUAAACAUUAUGCAGCUGAAAUAAAAAUCAUAUAGUAAAAGUGAAAUAGCAAAAUGUUAACACAUUCCUUAUAAUUCAUAAUAAAAUACUAACUAGCUAAAAAUAUUAAUAAAAAUAUAAAAUACUAACUAAAUACUAAUAAAUUUCAAAGCCUAAGCAGUAAACUAUUCAUAUCAUCAAGUGAAAAUGUUAAUAUAAUCUUUAGAUAACUAAAGAAAUUUACAAAUAAUGUCACUUAUUGUUUAUAAAAGCUACGUUAUGUCCAAACGCAAAUUGAUAAAUUUAUUUUGAACAACUUUGUCUGCAAAAUAGCUAAGACAAAGAACGGAGUGCCGGCUAGGCAUGAAAAAUUGCCCAAAAACUGCCGAUAGUUUCAAAAUGACGAACGUUAAAUGAUGCAAACUUACAACGAGACAAUAUUAUUAUAGCUACCAAAAUAAUAUCACUUGUAUGAGGCUCUAUUAAUACAGACAAGCAUCAUUACUUUACCAUUAUAGGAAAGUAGCUUCUAAUUUUCUUGUUUGGUGUCUAUCUUUUUGUGUCAUGUAUUUGGUAUUUUAAGUCAAUAUAUCAAUCGUGUUAUAUCUAUAGGUAACUAAAAGCUUAGCUUUCAACUGUAAACAAACGAUACUAUGAGUCUUAAAUUUAAAUAAAGUAAAUUAAUCUUAUAUGAAACGCACUGCCCAAAAUCUGCAGUGACUGUUUGAUUCUAAUCAGCAACUUAUCAGCCUCUUAUGGUUUGAUAUGGUUUUUAAAGCAUGGUUGUUCAUGUCUAGUUUUUGUAUUCUUAGUAUUUUAAUUUAACAUAUUUUUCUUGAAAAGAAAUUUUAAAAAGUCUAAAUUAAACAAUACAUUCCAAUAUAUUAACACGUUAUUUAUAGUUCAUAAUAAAAGUAUUACCUAUAAGCCCAACAUAGUUUUAAUUUUGUAAAAAUUUCUUUAGGAAUACAUAAUUUUAUGUGUUUUGAAUUUUAAGACAAUAUGCUGUGAGUGGUUUGUCGAAAUUUGAUCAAUGUCUAGCAAGUAAUUUAAAUCAGUGAGAAGAUAAAUGUGCAAGAGAGUAAAUGUAUUUGUUCAUCCAAUAUACACAUUAGUUUUAAAACUACACAGUUUAUAAAACGUCACUAAGGUUUUGCCUACUUGAUAGGGCGUCAGUAUACAUCUAAUCGAAGUAUUGUUUGUCGUGUUAAAGUUAGCUACCAUCUUUUUAAAGUUGUAAUUAAGAUAAAAUAAAUUUUAAAUAAUUUAUAGUUAUCCACAUCCGGCAUUUAUGUAAUUUUGUUCAAGUUAUAUUGACAUACUGAAAGAGCAUUUAAAUCUAGUGCAAUACUUCAAAUAAUCAUCGUUUUACAAUGACUUAAUCGAGUUCUUAAUUAAUUACAUUAACAAUGAAUUGUCUUAUUUUUUAAUUUUUGGUUCCUUAUUUAUUGUGUUGAUAACUAAGAAUUAUAUUUAGAAUGUUUUAGACACCAUGAAGCCCUUUUAAAUUUGAUUUAUUUUGUGUUUAUUUUUUUUUAUUUUUUUGCACAACCUCGAUAGUGUUUCGAUUAUUUUGAAAAUAAAUAUUUUUAAAUGCAGUUGUGGAUAAUGACUGUGUUUUAUUAAGGUUUACUGGUAGUUCAGGAUUUUUUCAUAGAUUAGGUAUUUUUGUUAACCCUUCAUUUCAUGUUGGAUCAAUUUUGAUACAAAAUUAAAUAACCCCCAUUGAAUCUACACAAAUGUUAAAAUCUGAGCUCC